AGUCGAGCGGAUGAAGAGAGCUUGCUCUCUGAUUCAGCGGCGGACGGGUGAGUAAUGCCUAGGAAUCUGCCUGGUAGUGGGGGACAACGUCUCGAAAGGGACGCUAAUACCGCAUACGUCCUACGGGAGAAAGCAGGGGACCUUCGGGCCUUGCGCUAUCAGAUGAGCCUAGGUCGGAUUAGCUAGUUGGUGAGGUAAUGGCUCACCAAGGCGACGAUCCGUAACUGGUCUGAGAGGAUGAUCAGUCACACUGGAACUGAGACACGGUCCAGACUCCUACGGGAGGCAGCAGUGGGGAAUAUUGGACAAUGGGCGAAAGCCUGAUCCAGCCAUGCCGCGUGUGUGAAGAAGGUCUUCGGAUUGUAAAGCACUUUAAGUUGGGAGGAAGGGCAUUAACCUAAUACGUUGAUGUUUUGACGUUACCGACAGAAUAAGCACCGGCUAACUCUGUGCCAGCAGCCGCGGUAAUACAGAGGGUGCAAGCGUUAAUCGGAAUUACUGGGCGUAAAGCGCGCGUAGGUGGUUUGUUAAGUUGAAUGUGAAAUCCCCGGGCUCAACCUGGGAACUGCAUCCAAAACUGGCAAGCUAGAGUAGGGCAGAGGGUGGUGGAAUUUCCUGUGUAGC
rnacentral:rRNA from 1 species